AAUUUUUUCUUCUGGAUUAAAAAUGAAAUGCUAUACCUUAUAAAGCCUACGCUGUGAGUGGAACACACUGUGCUGGUCCCACCAGUGGACUGGUGUCAAGAUAAGUCCCAAACCCAUGAGAACAGGCUGAUGGGGACAAUCUCCUUGCCUCUAAACCACAGUCAGAACAAUGCUAAAGUAAGCAGUGCUGUUGCACUGUAUGUCCCUUCAUUUCCUACAAACGGCCUUCUGAGAUAGCGAUCUUCAUCAGGACACGUCAUGACAUCAUGCUGAAGCAGCCCUGACUAGGACAUUGACAUCACUUCCUCCACAGUUCAGGAAACAUCACAGAAGAGGGAGCAGAAUAAAUGUAAGAGCCAGAAAGAGAAGGGGAGAAAAUGCUGCAAAACACAGUCCUGUGGACAUGGUGCAGCCACUGUAUUCAUGAACACACAGAGCUGAAGACAAACUUUAGCAGGACCUGUUCCAGAAUUCUCUAUACGUAUCCUUACUUUUUCUGGUACACCAAGAACAUGCUGAAUAAGUGCUGUGGACUUCUCUUCAUUCAAGGUCACCAAAUGGGCACUAACCACACAUCCCCUCUAUACAUUACAAAAGACCUAUAUUCAAGAUGCUGUAUUUUCAAUUACUUAAAAAUGAGUUAACAUACA